AGUGAACGCUGGCGGUAGGCCUAACACAUGCAAGUCGAACGGCAGCACAGUAAGAUCUUGCUCUUACGGGUGGCGAGUGGCGGACGGGUGAGGAAUACAUCGGAAUCUACUUUUUCGUGGGGGAUAACGUAGGGAAACUUACGCUAAUACCGCAUACGACCUACGGGUGAAAGCAGUGGAUCUUCGGACCUUGCGCGAUUGAAUUAGCCGAUGUCGGAUUAGCUAGUUGGCGGGGUAAAGGCCCACCAAGGCGACGAUCCGUAGCUGGUCUGAGAGGAUGAUCAGCCACACUGGAACUGAGACACGGUCCAGACUCCUACGGGAGGCAGCAGUGGGGAAUAUUGGACAAUGGGCGAAAGCCUGAUCCAGCAAUACCGCGUGGGUGAAGAAGGCCUUCGGGUUGUAAAGCCCUUUUGUUGGGAAAGAAAAGCAGCAGGUUAAUACCCCGCUGUUCUGACGGUACCCAAAGAAUAAGCACCGGCUAACUUCGUG
rnacentral:rRNA from 1 species